rnacentral:rRNA from 1 species
AUUGAACGCUGGCGGCAUGCUUUACACAUGCAAGUCGAACGGCAACGAGGAGAAGCUUGCUUCUCUGUCGGCGAGUGGCGAACGGGUGAGUAUAGCAUCGGAACGUGCCAAGUAGUGGGGGAUAACCAAACGAAAGUUUGGCUAAUACCGCGUAAGCUCCAAGGAGGAAAGUAGGGGACCUAAAUAAGGCCUUACGCUAUUUGAUCGGCCGAUGUCGGAUUAGCUAGUUGGUGGGGUAAUGGCUCACCAAGGCAAUGAUCCGUAGCGGGUCUGAGAGGACGAUCGGCCACACUGGGACUGAGACACGGCCCAGACUCCUACGGGAGGCAGCAGUGGGGAAUUUUGGACAAUGGGGGAAACCCUGAUCCAGCCAUGCCGCGUGUAUGAAGAAGGCCUUAGGGUUGUAAAGUACUUUUGUUAGGGAAGAAAAGCUAGUUUUUAAUAAAAAUUAGUGAUGACGGUACCUAAAGAAUAAGCACCGGCUAACUACGUG